AUACAUAGGCUCCAAGCGUUGUUCGGAAUUACUGGGCGUAAAGCGAGUGUAGGCGGUCCGUUAGGUCGAUUGUGAAAUCUCCCGGCUCAACUGGGAGGGUGCAGUCGAAACCAGCGGGCUAGAGUACGGAAGGGGAAAGUGGAAUUCCUGGUGUAGCGGUGAAAUGCGUAGAUAUCAGGAGGAACAUCAGUGGUGAAGACGGCUUUCUGGACCGUAACUGACGCUGAGACUCGAAAGCGUGGGGAGCAAACAGGAUUAGAAACCCCGGUAGUCC
rnacentral:rRNA from 1 species